UAAUUGGAAUGAGUGGAAAUUAAAUAGCUCCACGAGUAUCAAUUGGAGGGCAAGUCUGGUGCCAGCAGCCGCGGUAAUUCCAGCUCCAAUAGCGUAUAUUAAAGUUGUCGCGGUUAAAAAGCUCGUAGUUGGAUUUCUGCUGAGGACGACCGGUCCGCCCUCUGGGUGAGUAUCUGGCUCGGCCUUGGCAUCUUCUUGAAGAACGUAACUGCACUUGACUGCGUGGUGCGGCAUUCGAGACUUUUACUUUGAGGAAAUUAGAGUGUUUGACGCAGGCAUAUGCCUUGAAUACAUUAGCAUGGAAUAAUGAGAUAGGACCUUGGCGGUCUAUUUUGUUGGUUUGCACGCCGAGGUAAUGAUUAAAAGGGACGGUUGGGGUUCUUCGUAUUCAAUUGUCAGAGGUGAAAUUCUUGGAUUUAUGGAAGACGAACUGCUGCGAAAGCGUCGAACAAGGACGUUCUCAUUAAUCAAGAACGAAAGUUAGGGGAUCGAAGAUGAUUAGAUACCAUCGUAGUCUUAACCAUAAACUAUGCCGAUUCAGGAUUGGCGGUCGUUUGUUC
rnacentral:rRNA from 1 species